ensembl:lncRNA
GGAAAAAACAAGCAUUCAGAAUAGUUCCUCAGUUGAUGAUGCAUGAUGAUGGGUCAUGACUUAUUUUUGUUAAAGCUUUAAACAUUAAGGUGGUUAUGAAUGGUCCUUUUUCCAACAUAAUCUACAACCUUGUUGGUCUACUUGUCCAGAGUGAAUACAUUUGUAGCCAAAUCAUUUCGUCUGGAGGUCCUUCAUUUACAACACUAUGUUCCACACCACUCCACUCAUCAGCAGUCCAAACAUGACUUUCAUGGAACAUUUAGAACUCAAAAGAACACCCUGGUAACAUCGGUUUAUGAUAGAGAAAUUGUUAUUGAUGAUAGAGGACAUUGUUUUUGUAUUUUAAUCUGCUUGCUUAUCCUGUUUGCUGAGGCCUACUCUCCUGUCUGCUCAUGAAACAUAUAGGCUGGAGUUUGUUCAUGACAUUUGGUUGUGACACACUUCCUCUUUUGCAAAAGAUAAAGCGCUGGUUUAAUUCGGAUUUCUGGUCUCUGUCUCAUUUAUGUUAACAUCUUAAUAUCAUUUAUCUAACAGUUUAGUACAGCUAAAGACAGUAUGGGUGUACACAGUAAGGCACAGAACUGAGGCAGUAUUCCAUGUGUCAUAGGAUCAUAUGCAUUGGAUGUAGGGCUACUACAUAUUCACGGACAAGAUGACAGUGUCAGAGGUCAUGAUUCUCGUCAAAAGAAGUCAAGCAAGUAAAUUAUUACCAAUUGACAAGAAGUACCAGGAAAUUCAGCACAUAUGUGCUUAGCUGUUAUUCAGCAUACUUCACAUUUCACAGACUUGGAAUAUUUCCUGCUUGCUGACUUUUGACUUUUUUGGCUGUCUGGAGUGACGUGCCUUACCCAUCGGCCCAACCCAUUAUCAGUAUCAAACCAAACAAAGCACAAUGCUAUGCAAAAGUCAAGGAACAUGUCUAUCUUUCUGGCUGUUUGAAAACACAAACAAAGCUUUGCACGGACCCCGACUCUUAACCCGGUUUUAAUGAGCGCAACCUUGGAAGUGCCUUUGUAACGCCUCUGUUUGGCAGUCCGGCCCCCCUCAGAGCCGGGGCAUGCCGGGGAGGGUGUAAAAGGACUGUGGCUCGUUCCAGUUAGGCCUUAGACCUACAGGAGCGCACACACAAGACACACAAGUGUUGUUCCUCCCUAACCUGUUUGCCUUUUAAAGAAUCCUGCCAAAAUGUUGUCGCGGACACUUGUUGUUUCCUUGCUUUUUGCUGUAGCUGGUGUUGUUUUAUCUGCACCAGUGAAAGAUGGACAAGACUCAGAUGAACCAGGCAGUGAGACCGCAUCAAGCUCAGAGACCACCGGUGUGUAAAAUAGAAUCUAAAGUCUAAUCAUCUGUGUGUCCAUGUAUAGCCAUGUCUCCAGGUCAGGCUGACAACUUCAUAUUCACUGUACUCUGUGUACAUAUGAUAUAUCACCAAGGAAUUUGCAUUUCCCACAAUAUUUUCUAUAGUAGUUUAUAUUACAGCAUCUCUUUGUGUUGUACAUGUUACAAUGUCUAUUUCCACAGAUUUCAUAUACUUAUACUUUCUAUCUAACUAACUAUCUAUCCAAACAGAGGAUACAUCAGAGUCCACCUCAAAAGAUGAAGACGAUGAUACUGACACCACAUCUGAGGAGGAUACAUCAGAGUCCCUCUCAAAAGUAAAAAAACGUGAUGGUCUGACCCCUAGAAGUCCAGCCCAAAAAGACUCAGGAAUCACAGAUGGGAAAGACUCAGCUGAGGACGUUACAGGUGCAGACUCAGCUGACACCACAAAUCAGCCAGACAAGAGCUCAGAAGAGGAGUCAGACGCUGGGGACAAAGACCAAAAGGCCAAAGACAAAGACGCUGAAAUGAAGGGCGAAGACAAAAAAGCCCAAGACAAAGACGCCAAAGCCAAGAGCUCCGGCAGCCAGGAGGCAGGGGCCUCCACCAAAGAAGAUGGAGACGAAGACGACAUUAAGAGCAGCCAGGAGAUGCACGACAGCGCCAGCCAAGACUCCGAGUACGCCACCAAGGAGGAGAGUGAGGAGGAGAAGAGCGCUGAGUCAUCGGACGAUAAAGAGAGCAAGAACGCCAGCAAGAAAGACAAAGCCAGCAUGGAGGACAAAUCAGAAGAGGAUGCAGACAAAGUUGACUAGAGGAUACAUCAGAGUCCAUCUCAAAAGAGGAAAGCAUGGAGAAGAGCACUGAGGCAGAUUCCACAAGUAAGGACUGACUGGAAGUUUUAACACCUCCUGUAAUUCAGCAUGGCAACAUCGUGGACAUGAUGUCUGUCAGGGUUUUUGGACUGCUAUACCCUUCAUGACCCUGUGGGGUCCUCAGUGUUCCUGUUUUGUCUUUCACAUGUGUGUUGGCUUUAUUGUUUCAUUGAGUUCACCUGUGCCUUGUUUGUUACCCUUUAUAAGCCACCUGAUUUUCUGUGUGUUUGCAGAGUCUUGAAACUGACACCCUACGGUUAGGUUGAGUAAGUUGCGCUGAGAAUCGCUGCCUUUGAUGCUAACUGUGUGGAAACUUCUGCCUGACUCAAGUAAAGAAACCUUUUUUGAUUGCACCCAAGCAAGUCGUCUGUCUCUGUCUCUGCAUCUGAGUCAUCACCCUCUCGUAGCACAGUGGUAGGCAAUCCGCCUACUACGCUGGAGUCCCGACUGACCCUUAUAGUGUCAACACCAAACUAGGUCCCAAAGAAAUCUUACUGUUGAUCAUAUAGUGAUAUGUAAUAAUUGAUUGCUUUAGAGUCUGCCACCUCAAAGCUAUGAUCUUAAUUACUACUAUUACUACUACUAUUAAAUAAAAACUAUUCAGAUGUUCCUAAAAGCCGUUUAAUAAGACGCAAGUCUUUGGAGCUCUCACAUCGGACUAGUUAAUGUGGUCCUUUUAUUUUAUUUAGUCGACUAAUUUGAGUAUUUGUCUUUCGGAAAAGUUUAAUUUAUAUUUAUUUAGUAUUGUUAUUGUUUUUACUGCCUUUGGUCUUAUUUGGGUGAAAUAAAACCCCAUCUUUUC